rnacentral:misc_RNA from 1 species
UUGACUGCUAGUGCAUCUGCCAAGGUAAUGUCCUUUGAUCGGAGAGUUGGGCUCACGGAGAAAUUGACAGUUGGAAUUUCAGCAGUCAAUGAAAAAGUGAAGUCUGUGGACCAAAGGCUUCAUGUUUCAGAUAAAACCAUGGCAGCAAUAUUUGCAGCAGAAAGGAAGAUAAACGACACAGGAUCAGCUGUCAAAUCAAGCAGAUAUGUGACGGCUGGAACAGCUUGGCUAAAUGGUGCCUUUAGUAAAGUGGCAAGGGCCAGUCAGGUUGCUGGUACAAAAACUCGGGAGAAGUUGAAUUCAGCUGUUUCAAACUUAACUGCCAAGGAAUCUCCAAUUGCUGUGUAAGCAAGAAAUUGGGGUCACUAUAAGCUGCUUCAUUAGAUCCUUUGUGACAAAAGCAUUGGACCCAUGCAUUGCUCCAACCAUUGAGUUUGGGGAAUUGAAUGAAGAGAUUGGAGCUGCAGGCUUGCUGGAGAAAGAGAAAAAUUUGUGCAGUGUUCCCUUUAUAUGCAUUUUCAUCUUUGGCUUGACGUGUGCAAUUAUUGUGAACUCAAUAUUGCCCUAUUUUUCAAUAUUCUUUGAUUCCUAGAAUAUGCCUAUGGCUUCUUUGUAAUUUUGUCGUUUGCAACAUUGGUUUCAAAUCCAAAAGAAAAUUAAAUUCACAUUGCCAUAGAAUGC